AAUCACAGCCAUCUCAUUGACAAUUCAACAAAAGGAAAGAAUAUAUUUGCAGAUGAUGGUGCUGCUCAAGGAGUAAUUUCCUCUACCUGGUGCCUGCACGUCCACAAGGGAUGGUGAACGAGUAAAGAAUUAUACAGAAAAAACCAAUAGCAGUUGUUAUGCAGAAGAUCAAGAUCGUAAGGUUUAUAUGAUAUAUGUUGAUGCCUCUCUUUAUACCAAGACUGCUAAACUUAGUCUGCUUGCCAAGGUGCUUGAAGGAAGCACUCCGGAAGAAUCUCUAAUUUAUACAUAUAAGAGUUCAUCAGGAAUAUUUGCAGCAAAACUUACGGAUAAGGAAGUUAACAAACUGAGAAGUUUAAAAGGUGUUCUGUAUGCUAUCCCUAGCAGAACUUAUAGGCUUCACCAAGGACUGGCUCCACCCAGCGGCAAUGAAGAAGCUAACGACCUUCAUGCUCCCGAUGAUACUUCGGCUCCAGCCAAUUACUGAUAUAAUUUAUUCAUGCAGUAAAAAUCAACAUAAUAUUAACAAAAGGAACCAUGUCUUCAUUUGAGUGGUAUAACCUUAAAGUAUUAGUGUAUAAUUUGAUAAUCAAAAUAUUAAUU